rnacentral:lncRNA from 1 species
AAGCUGGUCUCAAACUCCUGGGCCCAGCGAUCCUUUCACCUCCUUAUGGUGCCCGGUCUCCCAAAGUGCUGGGAUGACAGGCAUGAGCCACCCACCACAUCUGGCCCAUGUCAGCUUCCUAAGCCUCAGCUUCCUUGUCUGUGAAGUGGGGCAGUAAUGGGGCCUGUGGCGGUGAAGUUCAGAGGAGGGGAUGUAAACGGGGCGUUCUCUCAGGUGAAAGGCAUUCAACCCAGCCUUUUGUCAGAAGACCUGGGUCUUAGCCGUGUUCCACCAUCUUGGAGCUGAUGAGGCAGGUUGAAUCUGUCAUUCUGCGCAUCCUGUCGUAUAUGCUGCUGAGUGUUUUGUGUAGACAGUCCUGAGUGGCUGAGGUUGGGCAGAUGUAGCCAGACUAUGGACAGAGGCUUCCUGUGAGUCCGAAGAAGUGCCCAGCCCUGCGUUGGCCUGUCCUGGUCGGGCGUGCGGGGCGUGGAGUCUGCAGGCGUCUGUCAUCUGGGCCUGGCUCCCCUCCCCUCUGUGGGCGCCACGCCUCCCGCCCUCCAUGCUGACCUGAACCUCACAGUCCGGUUCCCUGGGUGGUGGACGAGUCCUUGGGUGUCUCCCACCCGCUUGGUGGCAGCCCUGCUUGCCCCUGCGGGGACCUCCCAGCACUGCACCCUCUUGGCUCCGCAGGCUUCCCUGUCCUGGGGCCGGGAGAGGUCUCUGCAGGCUGGGGAGGGGUUUCUGGAAACAUUCUCAGGUGAGCUUUCCCGUGCAAGUCCCAACCUGCGCUUGUCUUGGCUCGGGAGGCCCGGAGCGGCGGGAGGAGGAAGGAAGUGGCAUUUCUAGGAGCUGAUGGUGUUUUCCAGGGGCUGAGCUUGGCGCGCCAUCUCCUUGCCUUUUGAAGGCGAGUUUGGCUGUGAACGGAGCUGCUGGUUCUGAUCCCGUACGCUUCCUCAGACGUUGUGGGCUUGGAGUCUGUGCCACACUCAGAAAAGCACAUUUUUGUGUUUUAAAGUCUACAUUUUGCCUCUUUUGGUUGCUUUAAAAAUGUUAAGAGCCUUAAGUCUGCCCUUAAGCGUACGUGUCGUGUUUUCUCCAAUGAUGAACGGCCUCAUUUUUAAAAUUACACAGAUUUACAAUGUAAUUAUAGAAAAUUAGAAAAUACACGUCAGUACAAGUAAUCAAAAAAAAAAAAACAAAAGAAAAAGAAAAAAACACAUGAAAAUGACCCCAACCCCACCCCCUCUCCACCCCACAGUUGCUAUUAGCCUUACGGUGCAUAGCCUCUAGGUUAUUUACUUUAUGGUUGUGUUUUUAAAUUGUACAGUUUCAUCGACACCCUAUUUUCACUGGCAACACUGUGAACACCUUUAUUCCUUGUUACAUGUAUCUACACCACCAUUUUUAAUGACCACACGGUGUUAGGUUGUUGAGAAGGACUGUGAUUUAUUUAAUAAAGCCUGUAUUGCUGACAGUG